rnacentral:tmRNA from 1 species
GGGGGCGAAACGGGUUCGACGGGGAUAGAGAAGCUUAGGUUGCAUACCGAGGUUCCAUCACCCUCGUAAAUCAGGUGGGCAAAAUAUAGACGCAGACGAUUAUGCGUACGCUCUGGCCGCAUAACGACGGCCAGCGUCCUCCCGGUCCUCUCCUGCGGGACCGGUAAGGGCGUCGACUCAGCGGGAUAGCCGAACCGACCAACCUGUGGGUCGGGGACGCGAAACUAUACACAGGUUAGUUUCCCGGAGACUUUGCCCGAUAGGAACCCGGGAAGCGAAAACUUUAUAUCGGGCUAAGUAUGUAGAGACCUAAGUGGAAUAUUUCCGGACGCGGGUUCGACUCCCGCCGCCUCCACCA